rnacentral:rRNA from 1 species
UACGUAGGGACCGAGCGUUGUCCGGAAUCAUUGGGCGUAAAGAGCGUGUAGGCGGCCACUUAAGUCCUGCGUGAAAUCUUGCGGCUCAACCGCAAGCGGUCGUGGGAAACUGGGUGGCUAGAGUGCGGGAGAGGAGAGUGGAAUUCCUGGUGUAGCGGUGGAAAUGCGCAGAUAUCAGGAGGAACACCAGUGGCGAAGGCGGACUCUGGGCCGAAUGACUCUGAGGAGCGAAAGCUGGGGAGCAAACAGG